rnacentral:lncRNA from 1 species
AAAAAAAAAAAAUACGUUUACUCCUACAAUCACCAAACAAUCAAAACAGUAAAAAUUUACAGUCUCAUUACCAACUACCAAUUUGUUAGUUCAAUCUUAUAGAUAUCAAACAGUCUCUAGUGCCUACGUAAUCUUUGAACUAAUUCAUAGAAUUCUGAUGCUUCCUAUAAUGGUAACCUCUGCAAGUCGGGCCUCAUGCAUUUGAACCAAUGGGCCAUCACCCUUGAGUUAAUUUCCAAUCAAAACCAGAACUGGUGUCCACACAGCAGUGACCCAAAAUUUGAACUACACGUCUUCCAAGAAGGAGAGGCCCCGCCAAUGGCAGAGCCCUGACUCCUCCGCCACUUUUAGUUGUUUCCGACCAAAAAAGCAGAGCCCUCCGAUGAGUAUGAGGAGUAGGUAAUCUCGAGGAAUGGCCUCCACGUCCAAAAUCGAUCUGAAGCAUCUUUUAAAGGACAAACUUUGAAUUAAAAUUCCUCUCCAAACGACAAGUCAACCAGUCAAAGGGAGCGCCACGCCUCCCCGGCAUGUGCCGCUACAUAUCCCCUUGUUUUGAAUCUCAUUCCCGAAAUCGGGCCCGUAAUAUCUCUGAAUUACGACAUUGCCAUUAGAAAAGAAAACUGAAAACGAAUCAAUCAACCUCGUCAUUAGCUUCGAAUUUGUUCAACUUCUUCGUGUUCUUCUUCAUGCAAGGUGGCGUUGGAUGUGAGUUUUGAGAAUUGAAAAUGUUAUCUAUGAGGUUUCGGAGAUUGCAAGUCAUCAGGUAAGUUUCAAUCUUUUAUUGUAUUGUCAAUGAGUAUGAUUAACGAAAAUGUGGGAAGGAUCAUAGGAUGCAUGUUUAUAAAGAAAAAAAAUUCCACUUGUUUAUUAUCAAACUAG